rnacentral:rRNA from 1 species
CCUACGGGAGGCAGCAGUGGGGAAUAUUGCACAAUGGGCGCAAGCCUGAUGCAGCCAUGCCGCGUGUAUGAAGAAGGCCUUCGGGUUGUAAAGUACUUUCAGCGGGGAGGAAGGGAGUAAAGUUAAUACCUUUGCUCAAUUGA